AGAGGACAUGCGGGAUAGCAUAGCCCGCUAACCAAACAGACUUGAAUUGCGAGUCAGGAAAACCUUCUUCUCAGCUCUCUCUCUCUCAUCAGUCAUCACCUUCUGUCUCGCGCUCAACGCUGUCGGCACGACCCUAGCCUCAAACGGUAUUGUCACGUGGUGGCUCUCUUUUCCGUGCUAAUGGCUUACUCUGGUGUGCUAAGUAUCUUGUUCGCCGCUGGUGUCUGGUGUGCAAGUUAUGCAUUUGUUGCAGUUGUUGGGAUUGUCCAGAUUUUCAAUAUCCUCCGUAUCUCCAUUUGAAUUGGGAGGCUAUCAUGGGCUGCAGCUAGUUAUUGGCCUAUUAGCAGUGGGAGGUGGUUUGAAACUUUACACCUCAUUGACUGUGUUAUCCACGUAGCAUUAUAUCUAUGUUUCUUCAGAGUAGUGUGUAUAUAGUCCCAUGUUUUAAGUUUUGUGUCGAUCGAACAGCUUCUAGACAUACAUGUGCUAUCUUUUGGCUUAUCAAUUGAGAAAGAUUUCUGGCAGUCAGCCCGUUUGAUA